GGGGGCCCGCACAAGCGGUGGAGCAUGUGGUUUAAUUCGAUGCAACGCGAAGAACCUUACCUGGCCUUGACAUACUAAGAACUUUCCAGAGAUGGAUUGGUGCCUUCGGGAACUUAGAUACAGGUGCUGCAUGGCUGUCGUCAGCUCGUGUCGUGAGAUGUUGGGUUAAGUCCCGCAACGAGCGCAACCCUUUUCCUUAUUUGCCAGCGGGUAAUGCCGGGAACUUUAAGGAUACUGCCAGUGACAAACUGGAGGAAGGCGGGGACGACGUCAAGUCAUCAUGGCCCUUACGGCCAGGGCUACACACGUGCUACAAUGGUCGGUACAAAGGGUUGCUACCUCGCGAGAGGAUGCUAAUCUCAAAAAGCCGAUCGUAGUCCGGAUCGCAGUCUGCAACUCGACUGCGUGAAGUCGGAAUCGCUAGUAAUCGCGGAUCAGAAUGCCGCGGUGAAUACGUUCCCGGGCCUUGUACACACCGCCCGUCACACCAUGGGA
rnacentral:rRNA from 1 species